GAAGUACUCCCUCCGUUCCGAAUUACUUGUCGCAGGCAUGAAUGUAUCUAGAUGUAUUUUAGUUCUAGAUACAUCCAUUUCUACGACGAGUAAUUUGGAACGGAGGGAGUAGGAU
rfam:Triticum aestivum genome assembly, contig: Triticum_aestivum_CS42_TGACv1_scaffold_376165_5AL